CCCCUAGUGGUCUAGGGGUGUGAUACUCGCUUCGGCUGCGAGUGGUCCCGGGUACAAAUCCCCGCUGGGCC
rnacentral:tRNA from 1 species